rnacentral:rRNA from 1 species
CCUACGGGUGGCAGCAGUGAGGAAUAUUGGUCAAUGGGCGCGAGCCUGAACGAGCCAAGUCGCGUGAGGGAAGACGGUCUUCUGGAUUGUAAACCUCUUUUGUCGGGGAGCAAAAGACGCCACGCGUGGCGUUCCGAGAGUACCCGAAGAAAAAGCAUCGGCUAACUCCGUGCCAGCAGCCGCGGUAAUACGGAGGAUGCGGGCGUUGUCCGGAUUUAUGUGGUUUAAGGGGUGCGCAGGCGGAAGAUCAAGACAGCGGUAAAAUUGAGAGGCUCAACCUCUUCGAGCCGUUGAAACUGGUUUGCUUGAGGGAGUGAGAAGUAUGCGGAAUGCGUGGGGUAGCGGUGAAAUGCAUAGAUAUCACGCAGAACCCAGAGUGCGAAGGCAGCAUACCGGCGCUCAACUGACGCUCAUGCACGAAAGUGUGGGUAUCGAACAGGAUUAGAUACCCGGUAGUC